UACUAACUUUUAACUAAAAGAAAACCUUUCAGAUGCAAAAGGCUCUGAUUUUUUUGUGUUUUAAUAUCAUUGUUUCUGAUUUUGCCUUUCGUGAACCCAGUUCCUCUGAGUGGCGACCAAUCCACUUGGACAAAGAAGCCUCAGCAGUUAUGGAGUUGAAAAGGAGGCAGCCGACAACUGGCAACAAGAGGUGGAAAUAUUUGGACGUUAGUGGCCAGAAAAUCCUGUUUGAUGCUGUCACUAAACUGCACCAACACCUGCUGGUUCUGUGUUAAGGUUAAAACCAACAAGGUGACAAGAGUUAAAGAGGAUCUGGUGCUGUUUGGCGUGGCGGAGCUUCACCGACACAAGUCUCUGGAACAAAGAUAGUCUUCAGACCGAGGAGGCCUCUGGGAAAUCUGAAGAGUUGUGACGGCAGCAGAGAGGUCACGCAAAACACACAUAAAACACGCACACACAACCAGAUACAAAUACAUAUUGUAUGUAUCAUACUGUAUGUUCUUUGUUAGCGGACAUGAUUUUCUAAACCACAAACUCCGGCUCUAAAUGUCCUCUGGGUCAGUUAAACUAGAACUAACAGCAGCUUUGAACAGCGAACAUUUUGAUGUUGAACAGAUGUUGAGUCAUCUGCCUGCACUAAAAAAAGACCCCGGAUCACCAACCACUACGA